AGGGUAUUACAUGUUUGGUAGUGGUGUUUCUACUUGAGACGAGUUUGAUCAUCUUGUCUUCAGUGAAGAAAAGCAGAGUGAUAUGUUGUAAAGUGUGCAUCAGCAGAAAAACAAGAAUAUAGUCAAAUAUUUGUGGCAUCAAUGGAUGGAUAACUGUGUAUAAAGAUUUCUACUACUGCUACAACAAGUGUUUGACAUAAGUUUUCAUAUUGGUGUCAUUCUCACUCAGUCCUCUUUAUCCUCUCUGGAACAUUUGGCCGCCACCACAAUUAGCUAUUGGAUUGUUGUAACAUGAUGCAACUACGACAGAUGAUAGAACACAAAGGAGACUUUAUGACUUUCCAGAUUUAUCAGUACUAACAAAUCUCCAUGUAUUUUAAUUUAGAAAAUAAUAUAUCUUAUUAGUGAUCUGUCGCUGAAUAAAUCAUUGUUUGGAGUUCAGGUACAAAGGAAUUAUAUCACG
rnacentral:lncRNA from 1 species